ACAGAGGGUGCAAGCGUUGUCCGGAUUUAUUGGGCGUAAAGCGUCUGUAGGCUGCUUAACAAGUCUGGAGUGAAAGAAUGGAGCUCAACUCCAUACCCGCUUCGGAAACUGUUAAGCUAGAGACAGCUAGGGGUUCGUGGAAUUUCCAGUGUAGCGGUGAAAUGCGUAGAUAUUGGAAGGAACACCAGAGGCGAAGGCGGCGAACUGGAGCUGUUCUGACGCUGAGAGACGAAAGCCAGGGGAGCGAAAGGGAUUAGAUACCCCUGUAGUCCUGGCCGUAAACGAUGAGUACUAGCCGUCACGGGAAUCGACCCCUGUGGUGGCGCAGCUAACGCGUUAAGUACUCCGCCUGAGUAGUAUGUACGCAAGUAUG
rnacentral:rRNA from 1 species